rnacentral:rRNA from 1 species
ACUUAAAUUGAAGAGUUUGAUCAUGGCUCAGAUUGAACGCUGGCGGCAGGCCUAACACAUGCAAGUCGAGCGGUAGCACAGAGAGCUUGCUCUCGGGUGACGAGCGGCGGACGGGUGAGUAAUGUCUGGGAAACUGCCUGAUGGAGGGGGAUAACUACUGGAAACGGUAGCUAAUACCGCAUAACGUCGCAAGACCAAAGUGGGGGACCUUCGGGCCUCAUGCCAUCAGAUGUGCCCAGAUGGGAUUAGCUAGUAGGUGGGGUAACGGCUCACCUAGGCGACGAUCCCUAGCUGGUCUGAGAGGAUGACCAGCCACACUGGAACUGAGACACGGUCCAGACUCCUACGGGAGGCAGCAGUGGGGAAUAUUGCACAAUGGGCGCAAGCCUGAUGCAGCCAUGCCGCGUGUGUGAAGAAGGC